rnacentral:rRNA from 1 species
UGGGGAAUCCUGCGCAAUGGGCGAAAGCCUGACGCAGCAACGCCGCGUGGGGGAUGAAGGCUCUCGGGUUGUAAACCCCUUUCAGUGGGGACGAAAUUGACGGUACCCACAGAAGAAGCCCCGGCCAACUACGUGCCAGCAGCCGCGGUAACACGUAGGGGGCAAGCGUUGUCCGGAUUUAUUGGGCGUAAAGAGCUCGUAGGCGGUUCGGUAAGUCGGGUGUGAAACCUCCAGGCUCAACCUGGAGACGCCACCCGAUACUGCUGUGACUAGAGUCCGGUAGGGGAGCGUGGAAUUCCUGGUGUAGCGGUGAAAUGCGCAGAUAUCAGGAGGAACACCAGCGGCGAAGGCGGCGCUCUGGGCCGGAACUGACGCUGAGGAGCGAAAGCGUGGGGAGCAAACAGG